CUUCCUUCUUGAUACAGUCUCAUAUACUGCAGAGUGUUAAUACAGGAACUUCUACAAGCAGGAUUUAUUGCUGUUGAAGAUCUUACACAUCUUCUUGUCCCUCUAUGACAUGACGCUGGGACUAAGAUCCUGAUCCACUGAACUUUAGCAAGACUCUCAAAUUCACAAGGGUUUUCAUUUCAGUUGCCUUGUCUUAGUAAACCUGAGAUCGAUCUCAGGCUGAGG
rnacentral:lncRNA from 1 species